rnacentral:tRNA from 4 species
GGGCGCGUAGCUCAGUUGGUUAGAGUAUCUCCUUGACAUGGAGGGGGUCACAGGUUCAAGUCCUGUCGCGCCCA